AUGUGGUCAGUGCAGCCUGGUCUCCGCAACAGUUCUAUUCUAGCAGGAUUAAUUGUAAUGGAAUUUAUUUUUAAUUUUAAAAUCUUAGGUACCAGAUGUGACAUUGGGAUGACCCAGACACCAGCCUCCCUGUCCGGAUCUCUGGGAGAAAGUGUCACCAUCACAUGCCGGGCAAGCCAGGACAUUGGCAAAAGUUUAUUAUGCUAUCAGCAGAAAACCGGGAAACCCCCUAAGAUUCUGAUCUAUACUGCAUCCAACUUGGCAGAUGGGAUUUCAUCAAGGUUCAGUGGCAGUGGAUCAGGUACACAGUUUUUUCUCAAGAUCAGCUGCCUGAAGCCUGAAGACACUGCAACCUAUUACUGUGGUCAGGGUUACUGGUUAUUCCCACAGAGGUUCAAACCAUGA